AUUAAAGUUGUUGCGGUUAAAACGUUCGUAGUUGAACUUGUGCUUCAUACGGGUAGUACAACUUACAAUUGUGGUUAGUACUAUACUUUAUGUAUGUAAGCGUAUUACCGGUGGAGUUCUUAUAUGUGAUUAAAUACUUGUAUUUUUUCAUAUGUUCCUCCUAUUUAAAAACACUGCAUUAGUGCUCUUAAACGAGUGUUAUUGUGGGCCGGUACUAUUACUUUGAACAAAUUAGAGUGCUUAAAGCAGGCUUCAAAUGCCUGAAUAUUCUGUGCAUGGGAUAAUGAAAUAAGACCUCUGUUCUGCUUUCAUUGGUUUUCAGAUCAAGAGGUAAUGAUUAAUAGAAGCAGUUUGGGGGCAUUAGUAUUACGACGCGAGAGGUGAAAUUCUUGGACCGUCGUAAGACUAACUUAAGCGAAAGCAUUUGCCAAAGAUGUUUUCAUUAAUCAAGAACGAAAGUUAGAGGUUCGAAGGAUAGAUACCGCCCUAGUUCUAACCAUAAACGAUGCCAGCUAGCAAUUGGGUGUAGCUACUUUUAUGGCUCUCUCAGUCGCUUCCCGGGAACCAAAGCUUUUGGGCUCCGGGGGAAGUAUGGUUGCAAAGCUGAAACUUAAAGGAAUUGACGGAAGGGCACCACCAGGAGUGGAGCCUGCGGCUUAAUUUGACUCACACGGGAAAACUUACAGGUCCGAACAUAAGUGUGUAAGACAGAUUGAUAGCUCUUUCUCGAAUCUAUGGGUGGUGGUGCAUGGCCGUUCUUAGUUCGUGAGUGAUUUGUCUGGUUAAUUCCGAUAACGAACGAGACUCAAAUAUAUUAAAUAGAUAUCUUCAGGAUUAUGGUGCUGAAGCUUAUGUAGCCUUCAUUCAUGUUGGCAGUAAAAUGCUUAUUUGUUUGAAUGUGUUUAUGUAAGUGGAGCCGUACCUGUUGGUUUGUCCAUUAUAAGGACACUAGCUUCUUAAAUGGACAAAUUGCGUCUAGCAAUAAUGAGAUUGAGCAAUAACAGGUCUGUGAUGCCCUUAGAUGUCCUGGCUGCACGCGCGCUACAAUGAAAGUAUCAACGUGUAUUUCCUAGACGCGAGAGGUCCGGGUAAACCGCUAACCACUUUCAUGCUUGGGAUUGUGAACUGAAACUGUUCACAUGAACUUGGAAUUCCAGUAAGUGUGAGUCAUUAACUCGCAUUGAUUACGUCCUGCCUUUGUACACACCGCCCGUCGCUACUACCGAUUGAAUUAUUUAGUGAGGUCUCCGGACGUGAUCACUGUGACGCCUUGCGUGUUACGGUUGUUUCGCAAAAGUUGACGCGAACUUGAUUAUUUAGAGGAAGUAAAAGUCGUAACAAGGUUUCCGUAGGUGAACCUGCGGAAG
rnacentral:rRNA from 1 species